UACGUAGGGUGCAAGCGUUAAUCGGAAUUAUUGGGCGUAAAGCGUGCGCAGGCGGCUUUGCAAGACAGAUGUGAAAUCCCCGGGCUUAACCUGGGAACUGCAUUUGUGACUGCAUGGCUAGAGUGCGGCAGAGGGGGAUGGAAUUCCGCGUGUAGCAGUGAAAUGCGUAGAUAUGCGGAGGAACACCGAUGGCGAAGGCAAUCCCCUGGGCCUGCACUGACGCUCAGGCACGAAAGCGUGGGGAGCAAACAGG
rnacentral:rRNA from 1 species